rnacentral:lncRNA from 1 species
AGGAGGAUCAUCUGUUUCAGGUAAUCCUAGGUUAUCAGGUCAUCACAAUAUUGAUCAUUGGAAGUCAGGAGUAGAUUAAGUUGAUGGUUGGGGAUCCUGGGUGGGAUGGAGCAGGAUGGUAGGAAAUUCCAUCAUGCUAUUCAAAACGGCAUGCAAUUUAAAACUUACGAGUUUAUUUCUGGAAUUUUCCAUUUAAUAUUUUUGGACCACUGUUGAUGAUAAGUAACUGAAACCUCAGAAAGUGAAACUGCAGAUAAAGGACAGAAUAUUGUGCUGUAUUUUCUUCCCACAUCCCUAAGCAUUUUAUUCUGCAGUACUAGUCACAAAAUGAUUAACACAAUGAUGUCCCAUGCUGCACUAUCAAAAUUCUUCUGAGUUCCACUGGAUGCAAGGAUGGUCAUGCCCUUCAGCUGAAGAGUGUCAGUGUCAAUGCAUUGAAAAAGGAAGGUAGAAAAUAAGCGCCAGCCUAGCUGAGAUGAUCAGAACAAUUUUGGAGCUCAUGUGUUGCAAAUGGCAUAUCCACAUGGUGGAUGAAGAUGAGCUAGCCUGCUUCAGUGUCAAAAGAAAGGAGGGAGACCCUUUUGUUGUAUUAAGCCACUGGAUUGUGAGACUUUAUCUACAGGAGAAACUAGUGUUCAUUUUCUUGAUAUAUAAGAUCCAAGCAUUAUCAUAACAUGUUAAAUGACCCUGGGCACAAGUGUUGAGGCCAAUUUUUUCACAAAUAAAACAGAGCAUCUUUAUUGUUAGCAUUCUGUAGUUUGCGAUGAGUUUCUUGAGUAUAUUGGUGGAAAGGCAUUCAAUUUUUGGAUUUAGUCUAUAGCUUUCCCUUAUUAUCCAGAUAGAGUUUUUAAGCAUAACUCUUUUAUAAUAUUUACCCCAUUGUAUUGUAUUUAUUUA